GGGGAAUCUUGGACAAUGGGGGCAACCCUGAUCCAGCGACGCCGCGUGGGUGAUGAAGGCCUUCGGGUUGUAAAGCCCUUUUGUCGGGGACGAUGAUGACGGUACCCGACGAAUAAGCACCGGCUAACUCCGUGCCAGCAGCCGCGGUAAGACGGAGGGUGCUAGCGUUGUUCGGAAUUACUGGGCGUAAAGGGCGCGUAGGUGGCUUGUUAAGUCGGGUGUGAAAGCCCGGGGCUCAACCCCGGAACGGCACCCGAGACUGGCAGGCUGGAGACCGGGAGAGGAGAGUGGAAUACCCAGUGUAGAGGUGAAAUUCGUAGAUAUUGGGUGGAACACCAGUGGCGAAAGCGGCUCUCUGGCCCGGUUCUGACACUGAGGCGCGAAAGCGUGGGGAGCAAAC
rnacentral:rRNA from 1 species